AUGAAUAUAACGUUUAAAAACAACACGCUGUCGAAACUUAAAGAUAAAAAUGAAAAUGCACAUUAAUUAAUAACCAAGAUGGCAUAUGAAAAAAAAAGGAUUUUAAAUAAAAAAUCUUCGCUUGCCGAAAGCUAUUUCACACACAUCACUAUCUCGCUCUCACUUCAUAAUUGUCGCCAUCAUUUCUCUCUCUCUCUCUCUCUCUCUCUCUUGUUGUUGCCACCAUCAUUUUCACCUUCAUCGCCACCGCAAAUCUAUCAAUAUCCUCUUCCCUCCCUCCCUCCCUCUCUCUCUCUCUCUCUCUCUCCCUCUCUCUCUGUCUGUCUCCCCCCUCUCUCUCCCUCUCUCUCUGUCUGUCUCUCUUUCUCUGUUGCCACCAUCAUUUUCUCCUUCAUUGCCAUCGCAAAUCUAUCAAUAUCCUUUUCCCUUAGACUCGAAUAUCACCACUACAAUCUUGUCUCUUUCUCUCUCGUCUCUUACACAUCAGUUCUUACUUGAAAUUGUCAAAGACUAUCAAAAAGUUGAAGCUAAAUAGCAAUCUCGUUGUCGUCCAAUGAGCUCGAUCAAUAUUGAUAAGCUAGAAAACUCCCUCUGUUUGGUACAUACAGCUAUGGAAAAGACCGAGACAUCAACCAGUGCAGAAGCUCAUGAUAAGACUAAUUGCAGAUAGCACUACAAUUUUAAGCUUGAUGCUGGUUCCUGUGGAUUGUAAAUGCAGGUUCUUGGAUGAUUUUGAUGACCUAAGAGUGAAAGCGACUGUGAGGUUCCCCUAGGUUUCGAUCCCCUAAACCUUCAGAGGGUGUUAUACAGUUAGCCUACUUCUACGGGAUAGUAUAUGUGGUAUGGCCGUUGGAAAUGGACACUCCUAGAUUGAGAGUUACUAGGAGUGAAGGGCACCGCGCUCUGCCUUGGGUUUCGAUCCCUUAAAACUCUGGAACCCUACAUGGCUAGACAUGUACCAUAUCCCGUGGGGAGGGUACUUGGUUCUGGGGUGUAGGAUUAAAUGGACACUAUCAUUACCCUACUUUGUGCUCUUGUGGUCAAAUUGAAAGGAAUCGGCCGCAUGACCGGUCAUCAAGUUGGAUUAUGUUGGCACACGAAUUCUGGGAGUGAAUCGUGUUGACGGUUGUGUAUAACCAAUAGUGGUAAGUGAUUUUACCAAUGAUUGUGAUGUGAAAUUCCAAUGAUUUGGUUGGAAUUUCUUAUAUUUGAAUUGCCAAUUUAAAUGGUUUGGCUUGAAAUUGUGAUUAUUUGCGUAGCCACUUAUGAUUGUGGUUUGAAACUUUGAUAUUUAUUUAACCGAUGAUGGUUUGGCUGGAAUUUAUGAUA